AACGAACGCUGGCGGCGUGGAUAAGACAUGCAAGUCGAACGAAGCCUUCGGGCUUAGUGGCGCACGGGUGCGUAACGCGUGGGAAUCUGCCCUUGGGUUCGGAAUAACAGUUAGAAAUGACUGCUAAUACCGGAUGAUGUCUUCGGACCAAAGAUUUAUCGCCCAAGGAUGAGCCCGCGUAGGAUUAGGUAGUUGGUGGGGUAAUGGCCCACCAAGCCGACGAUCCUUAGCUGGUCCGAGUGGAUGAUCAGCCACACUGGGACUGAGACACGGCCCAGACUCCUACGGGAGGCAGCAGUGGGGAAUAUUGGACAAUGGGCGAAAGCCUGAUCCAGCAAUGCCGCGUGAGUGAUGAAGGCCUUAGGGUUGUAAGGCUCUUUUACCAGGGAUGAUAAUGACAGUACCUGGAGAAUAAGCUCCGGCUAACUCCGUGCCAGCAGCCGCCGUAACAC
rnacentral:rRNA from 1 species